UACGGAAGGCAGCAGUGGGGAAUAUUGCACAAUGGGCGCAAGCCUGAUGCAGCCAUGCCGCGUGUAUGAAAAAGGCCUUCGGGUUGUAAAGUACUUUCAGUCGUGAGGAAGGUGUUAAGGUUAAUAACCUUAGCAAUUGACGUUAGCGACAGAAGAAGCACCGGCUAACUCCGUGCCAGCAGCCGCGGUAAUACGGAGGGUGCGAGCGUUAAUCGGAAUUACUGGGCGUAAAGGGCACGCAGGCGGUUAAUUAAGUUGGAUGUGAAAUCCCCGGGCUUAACCUGGGAAUGGCAUUCAAGACUGGUUAGCUAGAGUCCUGUAGAGGGGGGUAGAAUUCCAUGUGUAGCGGUGAAAUGCGUAGAGAUGUGGAGGAAUACCGGUGGCGAAGGCGGCCCCUGGACAAAGACUGACGCUCAUGUGCGAAAGCGUGGGGAGCAAACAGGGAUUAGAUACC
rnacentral:rRNA from 1 species